UGAUCUGCUUCAUGAUUAAGAUAGUUGCU
rnacentral:piRNA from 1 species